rnacentral:rRNA from 1 species
AAAUUGAAGAGUUUGAUCAUGGCUCAGAUUGAACGCUGGCGGCAGGCCUAACACAUGCAAGUCGAACGGUAACAGGAAGCAGCUUGUUGCUUCGCUGACGAGUGGCGGACGGGUGAGUAAUGUCUGGGAAACUGCCUGAUGGAGGGGGAUAACUACUGGAAACGGUAGCUAAUACCGCAUAA